rnacentral:sRNA from 1 species
UCUAAAACAAUGUAUAUAAACCCUAUAAAACGUCCAGGGACUAAUAAUGCAAAUAGGGAAGUCCUCUGGGGCAAAUUUCUUCUUCUAUAAACUUGAAAGCGUCUUGGACUUUGCUGGGCCAAAACUGGUGUCGAUCGACACCAAGAGUGUGUCGAUCGACACUCCUUUGAAUUUGGGACUGAAAAUCGUCCUUAGCUUCCUUUUCCUUAGCUUUUGCUCCAAAAUGUCUCCUUAUCUCCAUUGUUGUCCCACUGUAUAAUACACCUGAAAAGACACUAAAAAGACUCGAGAAAUAACAUAAAGACUCAAAAUCAUAUACCUAAAACAUAGAUCAAAUUAGUGAAAAUAGGGAUAUAUCAGUUGCAUCAACUAAAGUCUUUGUAGUUUGUAUACUUACGAGUUAUUUUUCCAUUGUCU